CGUAGUUCAGUGGUAGAACACCACCUUGCCAAGGUGGGGGUCGCGGGUUCGAAUCCCGUCG
rnacentral:tRNA from 2 species